CCUUAUACCAAAAGACAGACACUUCGUUUCUUGAAAAUACUCCACAAGUAAUGCCUACAAAUAGACUGACGCAUGCGUAGUUGAAAAUGCACAUGCACGUAAUGCCAAUAGCGGAAAAUACAACUCGAGUCUGUAGUUCCAUUUAACUUAGUAGUAUAAAGUAAGCCAAAAGCAGUGGAGAGUGGCUUUGGAAACAUUCAGUAAAUAAGAGCCUCUUGCAACGCAAAAUAAACUGAUUGGGUAUUCUUGCUGAUUCUUAGAGUCAGAGGACAGUCUUUGUAUGACGAGAAUGGCAAUUAGUAUUUGGACUGUAUCAGCAACGUUCAGCACGUUCAGAGGCCAAUGAUCUAGGAUUACACUUGGCACCCAACAUGAAGACGUCAUUGUGGUUGASCAUUCUGGAAACUGACAGAACAGAAAGAGUGGCUUUACAUGGCCCCUGUAGCAGACACCUGUAGAGACGACCAACCCAGCCCAGACAUAUGCAGAUACUGUGGAGGACGUGAUAGACCAGGUGCACCAAAGAGGUUGCAAGGUACAGCAAAUACAAUAGUGCGUGGACGAGGAGAAAAGAUAAGUCUAUAUUUGGACACAGAGCAGUGUGUAAUGCUGAUAGUGUAGUAACUGUGUAACAAUGCUUAUUAGUGUUCUAAAUCUAUGGGUAUACUCUCUCAAUAUGGACUUGACCCACAUGUUUCACUGUUUUUCAUUAAGUCGUUGCCCAGUGAUCUUCUUGCCCAAACGAUACUCAACCAAAGUAACAGAGUAGGUACUGCCUCGGAGCAUACAAUAUCAGUGCACUAUUAGACUGUACCAUUCUCUCAUCAGCAAAGACUAGGUCGAACAGCCAAAUCYUCACGAGUUAGGAUCAAGGUCAUUGUGCAUAAUAAAAUAUUUGCUUUGUUGGUAUCUCUCUCUACAGAUACGUGCGCUCUGCAAGGGGAGUGUUUGUGGCAGACAGGUUUUGGGGGUGUGGGGAGUCACUUUUGGGCCUUCCAGCUUCAGGGUGAUGAUGACUUCUGCCCUGACAUAAUGACCAUAGCCAAGGUGAUGGGUAACGGGCAUCGCCUGGCAUGUAUGGUAACCAGUGGAGAUAGCUGAGGCCUUCACAGCCAACAGAGUGGGGUACUUUCACACAGUGAGACUUGUAGUUGCUGUUACUACCUAUUUUUUUUUUUUUAUUACCUUAAUUUAGCUAGGCAAGUCAGUUAAGAACAAAUUCUUAUUUACAAUGAUGA